GCGAACGCUGGCGGCAGGCUUAACACAUGCCAGUCGAGCGGGCACUUUCGGGUGUCAGCGGCGGACGGGUGAGUAACGCGUGGGAACGUGCCCUCUGGUUCGGAAUAACUCAGGGAAACUUGAGCUAAUACCGGAUACGCCCUUUUGGGGAAAGGCUUGCUGCCGGAGGAUCGGCCCGCGUCUGAUUAGCUAGUUGGUGAGGUAACGGCUCACCAAGGCGACGAUCAGUAGCUGGUCUGAGAGGAUGAUCAGCCACACUGGGACUGAGACACGGCCCAGACUCCUACGGGAGGCAGCAGUGGGGAAUAUUGGACAAUGGGCGCAAGCCUGAUCCAGCCAUGCCGCGUGAGUGAUGAAGGACUUAGGGUUGUAAAGCUCUUUUAUCCGGGACGAUAAUGACGGUACCGGAGGAAUAAGCCCCGGCUAACUUCGUG
rnacentral:rRNA from 1 species